ACCUUCUUAUUUAAGCUCUGUACUAAAAUAGCAGAAACUAGUAUCAUGUUAUUUGUAAUAAAACUGGCAGAGUAAGCACAAGAAGAAAAACAACUGUUAUAGUUAGUAGAAAAAAAUAAGAUGAAUCUCUUUUUUUAAGUCCAGGGUACUUUGUUCUAAGAUUUGGUACAAUAAUA